UACGAAGGGAGCUAGCGUUGUUCGGAAUCACUGGGCGUAAAGCGCACGUAGGCGGAUGUGUCAGUCAGGGGUGAAAUCCCGGAGCUCAACUUCGGAACUGCCUUUGAUACAGCACGUCUUGAGUCCGGAAGAGGUGGGUGGAAUUCCUAGUGUAGAGGUGAAAUUCGUAGAUAUUAGGAAGAACACCAGUGGCGAAGGCGGCUCACUGGCCCGGUACUGACGCUGAGGCGCGAAAGCGUGGGGAGCAAACAGG
rnacentral:rRNA from 1 species